CAAAUACUUAAGUUAUGGAAUGGACAAUGCCAAUGUGCAACAAUGUCUUGGUUCUGAGAAAGUACCUAGAGAAGUCAUACCAAACUUGAUUAUGAUAUUAUCCAGCAAGCCUUAAUAUAAGUGAACUAAUAAUGAUAAACACAAAUGAUCGGGAAAACUGGUCAUUAGCUAUCACUCUGGACCAUUUAUUCUAGCAGAAGAAGAGUAAUCUCAGAGUAGUUCAAUAGUUGGUCAUUAACUAUGCUUUAUAUUUUACAAAACAAUGUGCAGUUGUGCUCUACUACACCUAUGAGUCGUAGCUAUAUUUUACCGACCGAUAUAGAGUUGUAGAGAAACAUAUAGUUUAUAACGAAUGAAAGUGGUUUCUAUCUAAAUAAAUGUGAAAUAUUGAACAUAUAGACUCCACAUUUUGUUGCUUUCUUGACUAAUUUUGAUAUAUUUAUAUUCAAAAUUUUCAGAUAUUGUAUCCUGUCAUCAACACAUGAGACUAUGAGGGAACAUGCCAGAAAAUUAUUUUAAGAGCAAGACAACUGAAUAUAUAUGCCUUCCAAAGUUUUAAAAAUAUGUACAUGGAGAAGAAAGGAACAUAAACUGGUCUAAAAUUUCUAUAUAACUUUCAAAGUUUUACUAAGUGUCUAAGUGGGAGCUUAGCAGAUAAAUAAUUAUCUGCAAACACAAACAAUAGGACUAAAGGCCAAAUAUCAUCUAGCAAAAAAUGAUAAUAAUCUUUAUUCUUGAAGUGCAUUAGACUAUCAGGCAGAAGAUUUAACUCCAAAAUUGACAAAUGCAAGUCUUAUCAUUUAAACAGUAGGGAGAAUGACAUACAUAGAUGAGAUACGAACGACUUAAUAUAAGUUUGACUAAGUUUUAGGAAUAUUACAUCUGAUUAUAUAGCAGUAAAAACAGAGAGAGAACAGCCACACAGGACAAUACCAUUGCAACCAUCCAACCUACUACUCUAACCUACAUACCAGAAUGUCCAAAGGGAGAGCUGGUGCAUAGAUAAAUAAUUGGCACGCAAGUCUGCGGACCUCCUGAAUGAGGAGCAGACAACUAUAUUGUUUUGGGGAACGACCGUGCAGGAAUUCCACCUCCGUAAGAUAGACCAGAUGAAUCAGUAGAUCCGUAAUGAGAUGGCCCACCCACAUUCAAAGACUAAUAUGCCAGUAUUAUAAAUAUUCUUUAAUCUUGUAGACUUAUACACCUGUAGUUAAAUUUUAAAUAUAUAGAGUUUGGUUCAAAGGAGAACCACAAGAGGUGUUUGGUGGGAUAAAAUUUGUAGAACAC
rnacentral:lncRNA from 1 species